CAAAGAUGUCUUAUUUUCAAGGUACUACAAAUGCACGAAUUUCCCCGUUAUGACACCAAAUUAUGAAUCAGAGCAUUUCAACUGUUGCCAAAAUGUGUACAUAUAUAUAUGCAAAUGUUUUUCUGUAGUAAAAAUUGAUCGUCAAACUAGCAGUUAUAUUUUUCUAUGGAUAGAUAUUUUUUUAUGCUGGUAGUACUCGUACAUAUCCAAGAAAUGUAAAAGAAAGCAUUAGGUAUGGAAUGCUUUUUGAGGGGCAUGAAUGACUUGUAUACCAUUCCUUUUAUGCUGUAAAAUGAUUGCAUUUAUUAUUAUGUAAGUGAAAUACAUGAUUUGAUGUUUCUUGUUUCUGACGACUUUAUUCUUUCAUUACCAAUUUUUGUAAAUUCUUUACUUGAAUCCAUCUUCCAUUAUCUUUUCUGCGAAAAGUUUGAAAUAUGUAUAAUUCAUAACCAAGCAAAGAGGAGAUAACAGAUUACCAGUUGUGUCCAAUUAAAUGUGUACAUGUAGAUAACACAUGUAGUAGAAACUAGUUUAUAUGUGAUUCAUUGACAGGUACAUGUGUAUGUGCAUAGGCCUGUUUACCGAUACCAGUGUUUUUUGUUUAUGGUGAUUUUAUGUACUGGGUAUAUAUCCUACAGUUAAAUCAUCUGAGUCCUUUCUACAAUAUCCAUUUUCUGCUUUUUUAAACUCUUUACUCCGUUAAGUAUUAAUGGUGGUGGAUUUUAUUGUUAUAAUAGGAGUUAUCUCUCUUUUACCGUUCAUGUUUACUUUUCCAUCAGGUACAUUCUGUUGAGAGAAACAACAGGCACAACCUUUUUUUAAAUGAAUUGAUUUUCCAGGUGUCGCAGAAGUGUCUGAUGGAUUUUUGCAAGACAACUAGGUUGUAUGUAGGCAUGUUAUAUGUAAGCAUUAUUGAAAAGAUUAAUUAUGUAAAUUAAAGAUGAGAUGUCCAGGUAUAUACUGUCACUGCGUGAUUACCGAUUUUGUGUGAUUUGUUUAUUUAUUUGCAUUUAUUUCAUUGUUUGUAAAGCUUCCAAAAAACGCAAUUGGAUGUGGGAUUUUGUAUCAAUGAAGUCCUGUAAAGCAUUUAUUAUAUAUGUUAAAAAAAACUUUCCUUUGAUUUUUUGAUGAAUCAAUUAUAUUUUUCUUGUUAGUGUUAUGUUUCAAAAUAAAAUUGCAACAACAUAUCC
rnacentral:misc_RNA from 1 species